UACGUAGGGGGCAAGCGUUGUCCGGAUUCAUUAGGCGUAAAGGGCGCGUAGGCGGCCUGCUAAGUCGGACGUGAAAUCCCUCGGCUCAACCGAGGAACUGCGUCCGAUACUGGUGGGCUUGAAUCCGGGAGAGGGAUGUGGAAUUCCAGGUGUAGCGGUGAAAUGCGUAGAUAUCUGGAGGAACACCGGUGGCGAAGGCGGCAUCCUGGACCGGUAUUGACGCUGAGGCGCGAAAGCUAGGGGAGCAAACGGG
rnacentral:rRNA from 1 species